AUGCCAUGUUGUGGUUGACCACUGUACUGACCAUAGUCUUUAUUUUUAUAUUUAGUUCAGUAACUUCGUAUAAAUUAGAUGAGAAAGGGUUGUGUUUCCUCCAGCCUGUGACAGGGUUUAGUCUCAGCUGCCUGACACAUCCCCACACACAUCAUGCUCACUCAUGAAUCUUGGUGCCUAGGAACUUUUUACAAUCCCAUCAAAACUUCUCCUGCCUCAGCUAUGUUUCCAGUCAAGUUCAAAGGCACAAAGACAAGCUGAUGCUUGAAUACUGCAUGGACUAAUUAAAAAGCAGUCUUGCCCAGACUAAAACUGGUGACAUAUCUGCUAUUUUUCUUAUGCAUUUAUCGGUGUGUGCUCAGAGCAUCUCAUACACGUUUUGCAAACUUUAUUGUCACAUGUCUGGGUUUGAUAACUGUGACAUGGCUGGCAUGCCUGCUCUGGCACAGGGGAGAGACCUUCAGGCCAUGAGUGAAUGAAAUGCUGCUUUCUUCUGCUCUUCCCUGGCUAUCUGGGGUCUGUGCAAACCCACAAUUGUCUAAGAAGAUUCAUGUGCAUACAUGAACAUGAUUUUUAAAUAACUGGUGGAGAAUUACCACUUAAAUUGGAACUUGGCUUUGUUUGACUUGCUGCCGCUGGGUUGAUGCCACCACUUCUCCCUCCUCCCUUCUGCCCCAGGUUCAUUUAAAUUCCUUCUAAGUGUUGUUCCCUGAUACGUCUUCUUAGCUGGCACAAGGCUUUAUAAGUGCCCAGCUAAUGGCAAAUGGCAACACAGGGAUUUAAUGGCAUUUAGACUGCAUGGACCUGGCUUUCACUUUCAUAACUUCAUAAAUCUGUUAAAUAGCCCACUGUUAAAUAGCAAAAGCUGUAACUCUUCAGAAAAUUAUGGCAUAAUGGUAGUGUAGGAGGCAAAGCUUUCUUAGUCUUGUAUUUCUAGGCAAAGCUCUCAGUGUACUUUUUGCUAUACAGCAAAUACUCAUUUACUGAAAGAAAGCACUUGGUGUGAAAAACAGGCCAAAGAUACUAUCAGUUUCCCAUUACUCCAAGAGUUGUAUUUACUUUGUUUUUUUCAUGUUUUGAAGGUCUUUGAAGGAUGACACCUUUAACAGUAUGUUUUAUACUGUGAGGAAUGAACAAGCACUCUCGCGUGUCUUUGCCUUCUGAAGCUGCAGAGGUUCAGCCACCCUCUAGCCAUGAGCAGCAGAUGAUCUAUGUUAUGGAUGUGUCCAGCAUCACCAUCAUUUGAGAUCUGCAGACUUCCAUCGGGAUUGCCCCAGGCUUCUCUCUGACCCCUACUGUCCAUGCCUCUACCAUCUGUAAAGAACUUUACAUGGUUUUCCAAAGCCAAUAAAUGACAUGUGCUCUGUUUGCUUGAUUGA